AACGAACGCUGGCGGCAGGCCUAACACAUGCAAGUCGAACGCCCCGCAAGGGGAGUGGCAGACGGGUGAGUAACGCGUGGGAACCUUCCCAGUGGUACGGAAUAACUGACCGAAAGGUUGGCUAAUACCGUAUACGCCCGAAAGGGGAAAGAUUUAUCGCCAUUGGAUGGGCCCGCGUCGGAUUAGCUAGUUGGUGAGGUAAUGGCUCACCAAGGCGACGAUCCGUAGCUGGUCUGAGAGGAUGAUUAGCCACACUGGGACUGAGACACGGCCCAGACUCCUACGGGAGGCAGCAGUGGGGGAUAUUGGACAAUGGGCGCAAGCCUGAUCCAGCCAUGCCGCGUGAGUGAUGAAGGUCUUCGGAUUGUAAAACUCUUUCGCCGGGGAAGAUAAUGACGGUACCCGGAGAAGAAGCUCCGGCUAACUUCGUGCCAGCCGCCGCCGUAA
rnacentral:rRNA from 1 species